rnacentral:lncRNA from 10 species
AGAACAGUCAUGGUACAAGUAACCAAUUCCAUGGAAAGAGCAUGGAUUGUAAGGAGAGCCAGACCCAUUUGAAUCUUAGCCUUCCUACUUGCUACCCAUCUGACUUGGAUGCAGCCAAGUUAGAAUAUCCUUUUCCAAUUUUAAAUUCUAAAGAACGAACAUCUCUACUUGCACUGGGGGGAGCUGUGCCUAUGUCCCAUGUAAUGAAACCCUGAUGAGAAUCUGAUAUUCUGAAAUAUAGACUCUUCUUCCUGUAACCAGAUGUGACCUUUGAGGAUUUAACUGUUAAAGGAGCUAGAAAUCACAGGAGACCAAGUAAGGCUGCUAAUUGCACUGUUGUGUUGAAUAUUUUAGAUUCUUCGUGUUUUCUAAGAUAUUGCAAAGAAACUAUUUUUCUCUGCCUAUAGUAAUCAAUACUAAUAAACUACUCUCUAAUGUGUUUGUCAAAAUUUUUAGUUUCGUGAAUAUACUCUGUAGACCUUAGGAAAGAAAAAGAAAGAGUGAGUAAAUAUUCUUUUAGGGAACUUUCACAGAUAAGUAGCUUCUGAUUGAGGAAUAACACGAAAUUUCAAAAAUAGAGACUCACUUAAGAAUGCCUCCUUUAAAAAAAUACCUGGAAUUUCACACACACUGAUGAUCAGAUAAAAGUUCUGCCCGAUUUUAUAUUUAUUGUCAGACCUCUUGAAUCGUUCACUCUUUUGGGCUUUUAUCAAAUCAUUCCCAACACUUCCUUUAAUUUUUACUUAUACUUCCAACCCUUUCCCAGUUUUCUAAAUGGUUCAAACACUUAGCAUGCUAAUAUGAUUUAAAUAUACUUUGAUAUAGAUAAGAGAUGAUAUGUUUACUCAGAAGAAAUUGCCAAAUCAAAUUAUGAUUUUAAAACUCUUAUAACUUAAAAUAAGACAGAUCUUCAUUUUCAGCCACCAGAACUUCCAAUUAUAUUCCUGCCCUUCUUAGUAGGUAUUAUCAAUGGUUUACUUGUGUAGUAUAGUAGUUAUUUGAAUGUAUGAGGAGUGUAAUUAAAAAUGUUGAAUAUUUCUAGUUUUUAUUGUCAUGUUUCUGAUUACUCAUGGAAGUUAAGGCCUGCUAAAGUAGAAAAGUCAUUUGUGUUUAUUGUAUGGCAGUAAAUAAGCAGUAAAAUUUACCAUCAUAUAAUAGUUUAUUCAAAGAUCACAUUGAAAAUUUAGGGGUAGACUGCUAUCAUC